rnacentral:rRNA from 1 species
CGGGCGUGCUUAACACAUGCAAGUCGAACGAAGACACCUCUCCCGAAGAUUGACACAGCUUGCUGUAGAUUGAUUCAUUUGUAGGUGACUGAGUGGCGGACGGGUGAGUAACGCGUGGGUAACCUGCCUCAUAGAGGGGGACAACAGUUGGAAACGACUGCUAAUACCGCAUAGUAAGAAAGAUUCGCAUGUUUCUUUCUUGAAAGAUUUAUCGCUAUGAGAUGGACCCGCGUCUGAUUAGCUAGUUGGUAAGGUAACGGCUUACCAAGGCGACGAUCAGUAGCCGGCUUGAGAGAGUGAACGGCCACAUUGGGACUGAGACACGGCCCAGACUCCUACGGGAGGCAGCAGUGGGGAAUAUUGCACAAUGGGGGAAACCCUGAUGCAGCGACGCCGCGUGAGUGAAGAAGUAUUUCGGUAUGUAAAGCUCUAUCAGCAGGGAAGAUAAUGACGGUACCUGACUAAGAAGCCCCAGCUAACUACGUG